UGGAGCACGUGGUUUAAUUCGAAGCAACGCGAAGAACCUUACCAGGUCUUGACAUCCCGAUGCUAUUUCUAGAGAUAGAAAGUUACUUCGGUACAUCGGUGACAGGUGGUGCAUGGUUGUCGUCAGCUCGUGUCGUGAGAUGUUGGGUUAAGUCCCGCAACGAGCGCAACCCCUAUUGUUAGUUGCCAUCAUUCAGUUGGGCACUCUAGCGAGACUGCCGGUAAUAAACCGGAGGAAGGUGGGGAUGACGUCAAAUCAUCAUGCCCCUUAUGACCUGGGCUACACACGUGCUACAAUGGUUGGUACAACGAGUUGCGAGUCGGUGACGGCGAGCUAAUCUCUUAAAGCCAAUCUCAGUUCGGAUUGUAGGCUGCAACUCGCCUACAUGAAGUCGGAAUCGCUAGUAAUCGCGGAUCAGCACGCCGCGGUGAAUACGUUCCCGGGCCUU
rnacentral:rRNA from 1 species